AGAGGUCCCGCCUGCCCUGUGAUAAUUAUUUAACGGCCGCGGUAUUUUGACCGUGCAAAGGUAGCGCAAUCACUUGUCUUUUAAAUGAAGACCUGUAUGAAUGGCUUGACGAGGGCUUAACUGUCUCCUUUUUCCAGUCAAUGAAAUUGAUCUUCCCGUGCAGAAGCGGGAAUAUAACCAUAAGACGAGAAGACCCUAUGGAGCUUUAAACUAAAGCAGAUCUUGUUAAACGCAUCUAAUUAAAGAAAUAAACCUAAAAGAACCCUGUCAUUUAUGUUUUUGGUUGGGGCGACCAUGGGGAAACAAACAACCCCCAUGUGGACUGAGAAAACAGUUCUCACAACAAAGAGCCACAGCUCUAAUUAACAGAACUUCUGACCUUNGAGAUCCGGCAAUGCCGAUCAACGAACCCAGUUACCCUAGGGAUAACAGCGCAAUCCCCUUUUAGAGUUCAUAUCGACAAGGGGGUUUACGACCUCGAUGUUGGAUCAGGACAUCCUAAUGGUGCAGCAGCUAUUAAGGG
rnacentral:rRNA from 1 species